GGGGCCCGCACAAGCGGAGGAACAUGUGGUUAAUUCGAUGAUACGCGAGGAACCUUACCUGGGCUUAAAUGUAGAGUGCAUGAGGUGAAAUAUCUCUUUCCUUCGGGACUCUUUGCAAGGUGCUGCAUGGUUGUCGUCAGCUCGUGCCGUGAGGUGUCGGGUUAAGUCCCAUAACGAGCGCAACCCUUAUCGUUAGUUGCCAGCGGGUGAUGCCGGGAACUCUAACGAAACUGCCGGUGUAAACCGAGAGGAAGGUGGGAUGACGUCAAAUCAGCACGGCCCUUAUGUCCAGGGCUACACACGUGUUACAAUGGCCGGUACAGAGGGCAGCUACCUGGAGACAGGAUGCGAAUCUCCAAAGCCGGUCUCAGUUCGGAUCGGAGUCUGCAACUCGACUCCGUGAAGCUGGAUUCGCUAGUAAUCGCGCAUCAGCCAUGGCGCGGUGAAUACGUUCCCGGGCCUU
rnacentral:rRNA from 1 species